rnacentral:rRNA from 1 species
CAAUAGCGUAUAUUAAAGUUGUUGCGGUUAAAAAGCUCGUAGUUGGAUUUCUGCUGAGAACGACCGGUCCGCCCUUUGGGUGUGUAUCUGGCUCUUUCUUGGCAUCUUCUUGGUGAACGUUGCUGCACUUGACUGUGUGGAGCGCUACCCAGGACUUUUACUUUGAGGAAAUUAGAGUGUUUCAAGCAGGCAUACGCCUUGAAUACAUUAGCAUGGAAUAAUAAGACAGGACCUCGGUUCUAUUUUGUUGGUUUCUAGAGCUGAGGUAAUGAUUAAUAGGGAUAGUUGGGGGCAUUCGUAUUUAACUGUCAGAGGUGAAAUUCUUGGAUUUGUUAAAGACGGACUACUGCGAANGNAUUUGCNAAGGAUGUUUNCAUUG